rnacentral:rRNA from 1 species
UACAGAGGUGGCAAGCGUUGUUCGGAAUUACUGGGCGUAAAGGGCGCGUAGGCGGUCAGGUCAGUCCCGUGUGAAAUCCCUCGGCUCAACUGAGGAACUGCACGGGAAACUGCCUGGCUUGAGUUCGGGAGAGGGAAGCGGAAUUCCGGGUGUAGCGGUGAAAUGCGUAGAUAUCCGGAGGAACACCGGUGGCGAAGGCGGCUUCCUGGACCGACACUGACGCUGAGGCACGAAAGCGUGGGGAGCAAACAGG